GUCUCGUUUUGCGUGCGAGAUUCUUUUUUUUUUUUUUUUUUUUUUUUUU
rnacentral:ribozyme from 12 species